GGUGGCUCAGAGGUAGAGUGCUUGCCUUGCAUGCAUGAAGCCCUGGGUUCGAUACCUCAGUACCA
rnacentral:tRNA from 1 species